rnacentral:rRNA from 1 species
ACGGAGGGUGCAAGCGUUAAUCGGAAUUACUGGGCGUAAAGCGAGUGUAGGUGGCUAUGUAAGUCGGAUGUGAAAUCCCCGGGCUCAACCUGGGAACUGCAUUCGAUACUGCAUGGCUAGAGUCUGAUAGAGGGAAGUGGAAUUCCAGGUGUAGCGGUGAAAUGCGUAGAUAUCUGGAAGAACACCAGUGGCGAAGGCGGCUUCCUGGAUCAAGACUGACACUGAGGCUCGAAAGCGUGGGGAGCAAACAGG